UGGUCGAUUAGCUCAGUUGGUUAGAGCGCUACCUUGACAUGGUAGAGGUCACAGAUUCGAGUUCUGUAUCGACCACUGA
rnacentral:tRNA from 1 species